GUUGCGUAGUGCGCAUGUUGCUCCAGGACCUUGCUUCAGAAAUACUCUCUUAAGUGGGUCUAUAAAAUAAAUGGGAAUCUCCAUUUUAUGUUUGGAAGGAGGACACUAUGAAAAGUGGAAUGAGGUGAGAGGAAAGAAGGAGAAUUAAGCCACCUUGUUUCUGGAAGGACAGACACAUGAAUCAACGAACAGAAUAGAGAACUGAGAAACGGACCCACACAGAAAUGCCCAAUUGAUUUUUGACAAAGAUGUAAUCCAAUGGAAGAAAAGCAGCUUUUUCAACAAAUGGUGCUGGAGCAAGUAGACAUCAAUAGACAACCAGAAAGAGAUACCUUUGGAAAGCCCAAAUCAAUCUACUUUGGUUUUGUAAAAGCAAAACAAAAAGUGUGAUCAACAUAGCAAAAAACAGGGUAAAAAAAGAGUUGGCAUGCAAGAGUAUGCCUACCAAGUGGUAAGCAUAAAAC
ensembl:lncRNA